CGGAGUUCAGUCUUCCCAGGCCCACCACUUUCAUCGAGUGAGCAUUCGUCUUCUGGUUACGGGGCCAUAGCUCAGCUGGGAGAGCGCGUGCUUUGCAAGCAUGAGGUCGUCGGUUCGAUCCCGUCUGGCUCCACCAGAUGGUUUGAUCACCGAGAUCUUGACCGUCGUCCGCGAAACAUCACUUCGCAUCCUGCUAGUCUGGAUAGACAGCAGUUUGCGUGUUUUCUGACAUCGUAAAGAGGAGAUCGAUCCGAGUUGGGUCGUGCAGCAUAUCGUUGCGCGAGCCUUCAUUAUCUCCGGAUCAUUUCGGCGCUCGCUUCCAGCCGUGAGGUUGGAUGCGGGUUGUAAAUGAUCCUUUUAGCGAAGCUUGACCGCCUCGCUAUCGGAACGAUCUUACGAAGCAAGCUGGUCUUUCUAGUCAAUGUCCGGCUGCGGAUAGCGUUCAUCGAGGGCGCGUGCCGCAAGGCAAUUCUGCAGACAACAUUCUGCCGAGUGUGUGGACAUUGAUAAUGAGAGCAAUCAAGUGCCUUAAGGGUGUUCGGUGGAUGCCUUGGCGCUGAGAGGCGAUGAAGGACGUGCUACGCUGCGAUAAGCCGUGGGGAGCUGCGAAGAAGCUUUGAUCCGCGGAUUUCCGAAUGG
rnacentral:misc_RNA from 2 species